ACAGGAGAGUCUGGCAACCCCAAAAUCAAUAGCCAGCAGCAGAGUGAUCUUCAGGGACGUGAUAACGCGUCUAAUUUUCUCUUCUCAGAUACUCACACACUGGGCUUCAAAAGCAACAAAAGAUGUGUGGUGGAUUUACUUGCUCUAAAAACUCACUGGUGGCUCUCAACAUUCUCUAUGUUGUAGUGGCCUUCAUCUUAAUUGGUGUUGCUGCAGCAGCAAAAGCAACAUCAUUCGUCACCUCCCUCUCUCUUGUGUCUGUCAUCAUCGCCUGCGGAGUCUUCCUGCUCCUCAUAUCCAUAGUGGGUCUUGUCGGUGCCAGCAAACAUCAUCAGGUUAUGCUCUUCUUCUACAUGAUUGUUUUGUUCAUCAUAUUCAUCAUUCAGUUUUCUGUGGCUUGUGCUUGCUUAGCCAUGAAUGGAAACCAGCAGUUGUUGUUUGCUCAACAGGGUUGGCAAAUUGCCGACACGUCGACAAGAAAGGAUGCACAAAAUUUCUUUGGCUGCUGUGGAUACGAUUUUAAAGAAGGAAAUAAAACCAAACACCUAGACCAUCCCUCAUGUGAAAAGGUGACAAACAAGGAAAGUCAGUUAUGUUGUCCAGAUGAAGAGUAUCGACACUGUUGCAGUAAUAUCACCACCGCCAGUGACACGCCUUGCCCCUGUCAGACAUGUGAUAAGCCAAUUCAGAAGGCCUUGGAGAAAGAUUUUAACGUGGUUGGCGGUAUUGGUUUAUUCUUCUCAUUUACUGAAUUCCUUGGUGUGUGGCUGACAGUGCGGUACAGGAACCAGAGGGACCCACGUGCUAACCCAUCAGCCUUCCUGUAGAGUGGUGGGGUGCCCUAAGCCCUCGCACACCCUCACACACUAACAUAUCAGCUUGUAGGUUUCUUCAUUGCUAAACGUUAUCGUCAUCAAGUAGACCCAAGAGCAAACAUUCAAAGCCUGCUUCGACAGUGAGAAUCACCAGUUUGAGAAAUGUCCACAUCGUUUGAAUACACGACGUUAAGAUGACCGCGAUGAGAUGCCGUUUUUGCUGUUUUCUUGUCUUGAGUUGUAUCAGUAGUAUGGAAUUAUCUUCCAGUGUUCAUUAUUGUAACACUUUAAGUUGGGCUAAAGUGUGACAAAAGGGUAAUAUUUGAGAUUGAUUCCCCUUUGUCACAUUAUAAUGUCCUAAGUUUUCUGAUGGUAAGUGUCUGUGUGCUUAUUCUUAACUUCAUUUUAUAGAGUGCAAUGAUAGCUAUCCCACUGGUGGAUUAUAUUAAUGUUUCUUUCUGCAGUGGUUACCCCAUUAGAGGGGAGAUCUAAUGGCAUAAGGUGUUACAGAUAAGAUAGGAAGUUUAGCUUAUUGUAGCAAAGUUCAUUUUAUAGAAAUUAGAAAAUGGAAGUAUAGUACGGUAAACCCUAUAAGAUCCGGACCGGGGAAAUCCGGAUUUCGGAAGAUCUGGACAAAAAAAUUGGGGGUGCUGGGCUAAGAAGCCUCCUAGAAGUUUUCCUAAGAAGCUUUCCCAAACCAGAGCAAAGAACACUUUAGGCCCGUGGGCGCUGCUUGACCAGUCGGUUGCUUGGACACAGGUGCCCGAGGAGGUGGGAAACAUAAACCUAGUGGACAAUUGUUGGUUGUGGUUUAUACAGUAUUGUAUAUGGUAAUUUGUUUAUCACUACUGUAUUUUUGGCGUUUCUUAUAUCAUUUAUUAUUCGGCGAAAAAUCCGGACAAUCGGCUUUUGCGGACAGGUGGCCCCCCCUUUUAGUCGGGAUCUUCGAGGGUUGACUGUACUGUAUUAAUAGCCUUUCUUGACAUCCUCUCUGUCUCGUGUAGAUUAACAACUUGUACUAUGCCAUACGGUAGUAUUUACAGUGGUCCCUCGAUUAACGAACGGUUCGAUUAAUGAAAUUUCAGUUAACGAAUUGGCUCCCAAAAGGAUUUUCAGUUCCAUUAACGAACAAAACUUCGAUUAACGACAGCCUUACGAGAA
rnacentral:misc_RNA from 1 species